AAUAUUGAUUUAGAAGAAGAGAAUACCUGUCUAAAAAGCGCAAGUUUUGAUGAGCUCUGAUUUGGUUUUGAUCCUGAUGCUGUGAAGCAGUUCUGGCAGUAGAAGAGCAGGUUUGCUUGAUGCUGUUCCUGUAGUUCUUUUGCUGUGACUUCUCGAGAUACUAAGGUCACAUACAAGAAGAGAGUUGUAACCCUGGGGAGACACAGGGACUGCUCCCCAGAAUCAUGCAAGUGAAUGGUCUUGACACCACACGGAGAAAGAGGAAUCUGCACAACUCACCCUGUCCUUCAGGUUCAUGUCUGCUUUCAAAGUAAAUAGUCUUCCUGCUUGUCAGUCUUCAGACAGGUAAUCUUUCCAGGUUUUCGGCAGAAAAAGUCUCCCUUUCCCAUGCAAUCUGUAACCAACGAGCUGCUUUGAACAGGGAAGAGAAGCAGUACAUAUUGCGGCAUUUGGACUCAGGCAUUCCUUUGAGGAUCUAGCCCAGACUU